rfam:Postia placenta Mad-698-R POSPLscaffold_79_Cont4025, whole genome shotgun sequence.
GGCCGCCUGGCGAAAUGGCAUCGCGUCUGACUACGACUCGGUGUAAUCAGGAGAUUGCAGGUUCGACCCCUGCGGUGGUCA